AUCGCUUCUCGGCCUUUUGGCUCAGAUCAAGUGUAGCCUCUGUUCUUCCCAGUUUAAUAUCUGGUACGUACCUCACUUGCGGACCAUGUAUUAAACUGAUUUUUGGAACAGGGAACACACCCAACACGUGGAUUAGAAGCUUGCUCUGUCCUCUCCAAGCAUCAACCUGCUAUUACAGUAUUGGGAAUGAUGCACGUCCC